UACGUAGGGUGCGAGCGUUGUCCGGAAUUAUUGGGCGUAAAGGGCUCGUAGGCGGUUUGUCGCGUCGGGAGUGAAAACCCAGGGCUUAACCCUGGGCUGGCUUUCGAUACGGGCAGACUAGAGGUAUGCAGGGGAGAACGGAAUUCCUGGUGUAGCGGUGAAAUGCGCAGAUAUCAGGAAGAACACCCGUGGCUAAGGCGGCUCUCUAGUACGGUACUGACGCUGAGACGCGAAAGCGUGGGGAGCGAACAGG
rnacentral:rRNA from 1 species